rnacentral:rRNA from 1 species
GACGAACGCUGGCGGCGUGCUUAACACAUGCAAGUCGAGCGGUAAGGCCCUUUCGGGGGUACACGAGCGGCGAACGGGUGAGUAACACGUGGGUGACCUGCCCUCAGCUCUGGGAUAAGCCCGGGAAACUGGGUCUAAUACCGGAUAUGACUCCAUGAUGCAUGUUGUGGGGUGGAAAGCCUUGUGCGGCUGAGGAUGGGCCCGCGGCCUAUCAGCUUGUUGGUGGGGUGAUGGCCUACCAAGGCGACGACGGGUAGCCGGCCUGAGAGGGCGACCGGCCACACUGGGACUGAGACACGGCCCAGACUCCUACGGGAGGCAGCAGUGGGGAAUCUUGGGCAAUGGGCGAAAGCCUGACCCAGCAACGCCG